rnacentral:rRNA from 1 species
AGCGAACGCUGGCGGCAGGCCUAACACAUGCAAGUCGAGCGCCCAGCAAUGGGAGCGGCAGACGGGUGAGUAACGCGUGGGGAUGUGCCCAAUGGUGCGGAAUAACCCAGGGAAACUUGGAUUAAUACCGCAUGUGCCCUUCGGGGGAAAGAUUUAUCGCCAUUGGAUCAACCCGCGUCUGAUUAGCUAGUUGGUGAGGUAAAGGCUCACCAAGGCGACGAUCAGUAGCUGGUCUGAGAGGAUGAUCAGCCACACUGGGACUGAGACACGGCCCAGACUCCUACGGGAGGCAGCAGUGGGGAAUAUUGGAAAAUGGGCGCAAGCCUGAUCCAGCCAUGCCGCGUGAGUGAUGAAGGCCGUAGGGUUGUAAAGCUCUUUCGCCGGUGAAGAUAAUGACGGUAGCCGGAGAAGAAGCCCCGGCUAACUUCGUGCCAGCAGCCGCCGUAA